rnacentral:rRNA from 1 species
AGUGAACGCUGGCGGCGUGCUUAACACAUGCAAGUCGAACGAGAACGGAUUAUAGCUUGCUAUAAUUGUCAGCUAAGUGGCGCACGGGUGAGUAAUGUAUAGGUAAUAUGCCUCUUACUAAGGGAUAACAAAUGGAAACGUUUGCUAAUACCUUAUACUCCUUAUUAACAUAAGUUAAUAAGGGAAAGAUUUAUUGGUAAGAGAUUAGCCUGUAUUGUAUCAGUUAGUUGGUGGGGUAAUGGCUUACCAAGACUAUGACACAUAACUGGUUUGAGAGGAUGAUCAGUCACACUGGAACUGAGACACGGUCCAGGCUCCUACGGGAGGCAGCAGUGGGGAAUAUUGCACAAUGGACGAAAGUCUGAUGCAGCAACGCCGCGUGGAGGAUGACACAUUUCGGUGUGUAAACUCCUUUUAUAUGAGAAGAUAAUGACGGUAUUAUAUGAAUAAGCACCGGCUAACUCCGUGCCAGCCGCCGCGGUAA